GCCAGCGUGGCACAGUGGUUUGAAUGUUGGACUAUGACUCUGGAGGCCAGGGUUCAAUUCCUUGCUCAGCUG